CUUCCUGAAUACAGAUUCAAAGAUCUCCUUAUCUUUCUUGGAUACCGUGCACAAAAAAAGAAACAAAGCAUCAUUGACCAAUCAUUGACAAGAUGACACUUGACACCGACAGAUAACGAGAGAGAAGAGAAGGAUAAAGAAAGGAUAUAAUGUUUUGGUUGCCAUGUUGUUGAUAUGCAGCGUUAGGACAUAGAUAACGAUGGCACUUUGGGCUAAAGCACAACAGCUCCCACCAGGGAGUCUGCAACAGAUAUAUGGUGAUAUAUUUCCUAUUGAAGUUAGGCACUACCUAGCUCAGUAUAUUGAAGAAAAAUUCUGGUAUGUAAAUUAACCCAUGCUUAGAAUGUACGAUUUAUGAAUUUUAAUAAUAUUAUUAACUCAAGCCCUUGGUUAAUUUUAGAUGACACUGGCAACUUUCUAUUGUGAAGUAAUAUUUAGCUGAAAGCACAUUGUUGAGAUUUUGUAAAAUAAAAUUGAGAUUUGAAAAUUAUUUGUCUGUCACAUUCUGAUAAUAAUUACUACUUUGCAAAUUCUCUUAUUUUUGUUGUUUUAUGAGUUAGAAUACUUUUUAACAGAUUUGCUUUUUUGGUGUAAA
rnacentral:lncRNA from 1 species